UACGGAGGGUGCAAGCGUUAUCCGGAUUCACUGGGUUUAAAGGGUGCGUAGGCGGGUUAUUAAGUCAGUGGUGAAAGCCUUCAGCUUAACUGAAGAACUGCCAUUGAUACUGAUGAUCUUGAGUAUGAUUGAGGUGGGCGGAAUGUGUCAUGUAGCGGUGAAAUGCUUAGAUAUGACAUAGAACACCCAUUGCGAAGGCAGCUAACUACGCGAUAAUUGACGCUGAUGCACGAAAGCGUGGGGAUCAAACAGG
rnacentral:rRNA from 1 species